GAUUCUGGCUCAGGAUGAACGCUGGCGGCGUGCCUAAUACAUGCAAGUGAAACGGGUAUCUUCGGAUACCAGUCGCGGACGGGUGAGUAAUACAUAGGCAACCUGCCUUUAUGAGGGGGAUAACCGAGGGAAACUUUGGCUAAUACCGCAUGAAGACUCUAAGGCAUCUUAGAGGGAUAAAAGUUGGGAAACAACGCAUGAAGAUGGGCUUAUGGCGCAUUAGCUAGUUGGUGAGAUAGAAGCCCACCAAGGUAAUGAUGCGUAGCCGACCUGAGAGGGUGAACGGCCACAUUGGGACUGAGACACGGCCCAAACUCCUACGGGAGGCAGCAGUAGGGAAUUUUCGGCAAUGGGGGGAACCCUGACCGAGCAACGCCGCGUGAAGGAAAGAAGGUUUUCGGAUUGUAAACUUCUGUUAUAAGGGAAGAACGGACUGGAUAGGGAAUGAUCUGAUAGUGACGGUACCUUAUUAGAAAGCCACGGCUAACUACGUGCCAGCAGCAGC
rnacentral:rRNA from 1 species